rnacentral:rRNA from 1 species
AAUGACGGUACCUGACUAAGAAGCCCCGGCUAACUACGUGCCAGCAGCCGCGGUAAUACGUAGGGGGCAAGCGUUAUCCGGAUUUACUGGGUGUAAAGGGAGCGUAGACGGUAUAGCAAGUCUGGAGUGAAAGCCCGCGGCUCAACUGCGGGACUGCUUUGGAAACUGUUAAACUAGAGUGCUGGAGAGGUAAGUGGAAUUCCUAGUGUAGCGGUGAAAUGCGUAGAUAUUAGGAGGAACACCAGUGGCGAAGGCGGCUUACUGGACAGUAACUGACGUUGAGGCUCGAAAGCGUGGGGAGCAAACAGGAUUAGAUACCCUGGUAGUCCACGCUGUAAACGAUGAAUGCUAGGUGUUGGUGGGCAAAGCCCAUCGGUGCCGCCGCAAACGCAAUAAGCAUUCCACCUGGGGAGUACGUUCGCAAGAAUGAAACUCA